CUUGAAGACAGCCAUCUGUAAACCACGGAGAAGACCUUCACCGGUUUCAAGAUCUGUUGGUACCUUAAUCUUGCAUGCCCAUCUUCCAGAAAAGUGAGAAAGAAAGAUCUUCAGGCAUGUGAACGUCCUAAUGAGGGGGAAACCUAGAUGCCUUGCAUGAUAAUGUAAUUAUACUGAUGCUGAUAGUUAUGGUGAACAUCCUUCUCUACACAAUGUCAAGACAAAGGGGUCCUACUGAUGUUGGCGAAAAUGACAAGCAUUGUAUUUUCUCUCCUGCAUUAAAAAAAUAAACUACAAAAUUUUUCUGAACCCACUCCAUGUUAAGGAAGCUAAUUGAAAAGAUUUAUCAGGAAUCAAGAGGACUGGACAGAUCUCAGUUGUUGAACACAGAAAAGGCCAUGUCCAGCUAUUGGGUCUUAGGAGUCUUGUGGCCCAUCUGAAAAUCUACCAGGAUCUUUUGAAAGUACUGAGCCUUUCUAAGGCACUAGCCUCUGGUGGAAACAGGUGGGAGAGACUCACAUUCCCCUGAGAGACAGGAUGUGAAUAUCAAGAGGAAGAAACUGCAUAAACUGUGCAUGGGCUUGUUCAGGAUUAUUCUCACAACCCUCUAUGAACCUCUUAAAAGUUCAUGUGAAU
rnacentral:lncRNA from 1 species